GUGUCAUAUGAAAGGAAGAAAAAUUAGUAUUCCCUUGAUAAGGAUGGAAGAGGCCCUCAAGUCCAUAGGGUGCACAUAUGGUUAAGGCAUUACCACCAUAAAACCAUGAUGUUUC
ensembl:snRNA